UACAUACAUGUAGAUCUUGAUCUAGUGUGGGGAUAUCACUCGUGUCAAGGUGAAUACAUUUGAUUGAGAGUGUUAUGUUCCACGAUCGAAUGAUUUUUUUUGUUAGGGAGCCUAGGCUAAAUUACGGUCCCUUUUUCAUGUCGACAUUGUCGAAGUCGGGAUUAAAUUUUAAGCGACAUGUCGACAUGGAUUUUUGUUCCCGACAACAGCACUAGAUAUUAGGUGCCUGAAUAUUUUUGGGUAAUCGCCUGUACUAGUUCUUGAAAUCAGUCUGAUUGUUCUGGUUGCUAUGGUAGCAGAUGGAGGAAAUGAAAGUUUGUUUUGGGUCAAGUAGAAUGAUAGAUGAUUGAAGAGUCUAUCCACUGAGUCAAGAUCAAAUUCUUAUAUUCUCUAGGGCUUCUGUUUCUGUCAUGAUC